UACGUAGGGUGCGAGCGUUACUCGGAAUUACUGGGCGUAAAGUGUGCGCAGGCGGCUUCGCAAGUCGAGUGUGAAAUCCCCGAGCUUAACUUGGGAAUUGCGCUCGAAACUACGGAGCUGGAGUGUGGCAGAGGAAGGUGGAAUUCCACGUGUAGCGGUGAAAUGCGUAGAGAUGGGGAGGAACACCGAUGGCGAAGGCAGCCUUCUGGGCCAACACUGACGCUCAUGCACGAAAGCGUGGGGAGCAAACAGG
rnacentral:rRNA from 1 species